CGGACACAACCCGCACUCCCAUCAAGCCGCCGCCGAUCCUGGAGCUACCUCCAUCCCUUCGGCGCCGCCGAUCCUGGAGCCCCCUCCCGCGCCAACGCUCCAGGCGCACGGCCGCCUCCACGCGCCGUCCGGGCCGCUGCGCCCACGUUCCAGGCGGACGGCCGCCUCCACUCGCCGCCCGGACCGCGGACCGCCGCGCUCACGUUCCAGGCGGAUGGCCGCCUCCACUCGCCGCCCGGACCGCCGACCGCCGCGCCCACGUUCCAGGCGGACGGCCGUCUCCACUCGCCGCCCAGACCGCCGACCGCCGCGUCCACGCUCCAGCCGAACGGACACGUCCUCCACGCGCCGCCGGAAAUCCACCCUGCAGGUCUCAGAUUCUGGUUGCAAUGACAUUUUUUUGUUUAAUUGUUCGCAUGUUCAAUAACACAGGGGAAGGUGGGAGAGGGCGCCAUCGGCAUCUCUGUCCUCCUCUACUUGGUGGCCGCCAUGUACGCGGAAGACCACGAGGUCGCCGGGUCCGUCGCUGGCUGACCGAAACAGGGUACCCAGAUCCUGCCGUCGGUCGCGAGCCUCGCCGUCUACCUUCACCAGCCACCCCGAACGCCAUUUGUCCGGCUGGGCGGGGAUGGAGCGACGAUUCGGAGAUGUAGCAGAGCGCUUGGCGGCAGCUGCUCUCGGCACGCGACGGCGUGCCCCACAUCCAGAGGCUCGCCUCGGCGCCCACAUCGUCCUCCUACUACUUCUCGGUGCCGCUGACCCGGCGGGUGCCAAGGGAGGUGACGUACAUCCAGAGCGUCUGCGCGCAGAUGAACCGGCUCUGGUGCUCCAUCCCCGCCAGGCGCAGCGCGAAAUCUGGAAGAGCCAGGGAUGCUGUCCAGCUGAUGCUUGGUAUCGACUCGAAGUUCAUCAUCCAUUGUAUUGAGGAUCUCUCGAUGAUGAUCAGCAGUAUUGCAAGUUCGGCAGAAAUAAGUGAAUACUGGUCAGUAUAAUUAUAUGAAGAUAAUAUUGGGGUACAAGAUCAUUUCCUAUUUUUCAUGGAGUUAGAGAACAAGAUGGUGCGUUGCAUGUUGCACAUUCAGUAUUGCUGCAUAAUUAGCAGGUGAUCUUUAGACAAGUGAAUGUCUAACUGCCAUUGUCAAGUCACAGUGAGAAGAACAACGUUUACAGCCUGUGGAGUAUCUUCCAAGUUAGAUAUACCAUCCCGCAAGGUCAAGAUUUACUGAAAUGGAUUAUACUUAGAGUUGGGACGUCACCUUACUUUUAACAUUUCAAACAGUUUCCCUUCUCUAGGUAUGGGUGUUUCUCAAGCUGUCGCUCGAGUUUCUCAUCAUGCUCUGCAAUUAUAUUUUCUACCUCUUCAUGAUCAUUGUCCUGACAAGCGAAGUCCAAGAUGGGUAGAUUGUCGUACAUUCGCUUGGUAUCUGGUACUUAAUUACUUGCUUACUCUUAUUACUCCCUCCGUAAACUAAUAUAAGAGCGUUUAGAUCACUAUUUUAGUAAUCUAAACGCUCUUAUAUUAAUUUAAAGAGGGAGUACUUGACUGCUGAGCUCACAAUCAGAAGUUCAGAACCACAACUUGAUGAGAACAUUCUGAGCUAACUAAAUAUAGUGUGCUUCUCUUUUUAUUCUACAUUCUUUGGAAUACUAAUUAUAGCAUGGGAAGGUAUGAUCUUGAUGGCCCUCUCUGCUGCUAUCAGGUCAGAUUAGUUACAACUACAUGUAUAAACUGUUACUCUUUGCUCAGAUAGUUCUUAGUAGUGCAUUUUCCCAGUCACAAAAUUUUCCUUUAUACCCAAGGAUAAGUUAGAGCAUAAAAAUGAAAUCAGAAACUGGGGUGGAUAUUGUUAGGAAGGGCAUAUUGUUGUACAUCUAUGCCUGCCUGCACUAUGCACCAUUUCAUUCACGCGGGAAGGUAUUGUAACAUCCGAAAUAACAAGCUAGCUGAAAAGACAUGCAUACUAUUGACUUAACGGUUGUGAAACUCAAAUAUUUGGAGUUGCCCCAAAGGGAAAUAGAGGUUCAGAGUUACAGUGGAAGCCACCACCCACUGAAACUGCAACGAGUUGACUGGGAAAAACCACCUUCAAUAUAUAAGAGUUCCUUCUUACACCUACACUAUAAAAAAAAAGGAGUAUGAAAAAGUCACCUUGGAUCAUAAUUCAAGGAAUCUAUUACUCUUUGCUCCGUUCUACUUAAAUUACAUAUUGUAACAAUUAACAUGUUAAUGUGUGUCUGGUUAUGUCUUGCCUUGCUACUUGGGUGCCACCGAUGUCUGCUUAUUGUCUUCCAUGCAAAUAAAAGAAUCCAAAUACAUCAGGUCUCUUAAUAUUUGUACCUACUACUGAUAUUUGUUUCUUUUUUGGCUGAAGCUCUCAAAGGUGUAGCCUUCAAGCUUUACAAUAUGGGUUGGGAUUUCAGAGAUGAUUUGUGCAUUAUAAUUGUAAUUUGGAUAAUUUCUUGGUUUGAGGAACAUAACUGCAACUCGAGUGACUGAGCACAUGCAACACUGCAGGCGUACACCUUGAAACAGACACCUGAUGGCCUGGCAAGUUCUACUCCUGAAAUCAACGUCUAUGGCUUGAGUAAGUGUCAGCGGCAUCCCUAGGUCCGACAACAAUCAUGCGAGAGCAAUCUGUGGUGGUAGAUUUCUGCAUGAUGUAUCUUGAAUAAGGAGUAUCCUGCUAAUUUUGCAAGACA